rnacentral:rRNA from 1 species
GAUGAACGCUGGCGGCGUGCCUAAUACAUGCAAGUCGAACGAAACUUCUUUAUCACCGAGUGCUUGCACUCACCGAUAAAGAGUUGAGUGGCGAACGGGUGAGUAACACGUGGGCAACCUGCCCAAAAGAGGGGGAUAACACUUGGAAACAGGUGCUAAUACCGCAUAACCAUAGUUACCGCAUGGUAACUAUGUAAAAGGUGGCUAUACUACCGCUUUUGGAUGGGCCCGCGGCGCAUUAGCUAGUUGGUCGGGUAAAGGCUUACCAAGGCAAUGAUGCGUAGCCGAAUUGAGAGGUUGAUCGGCCACAUUGGGACUGAGACACGGCCCAAACUCCUACGGGAGGCAGCAGUAGGGAAUCUUCCACAAUGGGCGAAAGCCUGAUGGAGCAACGCCGCGUGGGUGAAGAAGGUCUUCGGAUCGUAAAACCCUGUUGUUAGAGAAGAAAGUGCGUGAGAGUAACUGUUCACGUUUCGACGGUAUCUAACCAGAAAGCCACUGCUAACUACGUG